CCUACGGGGGGCAGCAGUGGGGAAUAUUGGACAAUGGGCGAAAGCCUGAUCCAGCAAUGCCGCGUGAGUGAAGAAGGCCUUCGGGUUGUAAAGCUCUUUUACCCGGGAAGAUAAUGACCGUACCGGGAGAAUAAGCCCCGGCUAACUCCGUGCCAGCAGCCGCGGUAAUACGGAGGGGGCUAGCGUUGUUCGGAAUCACUGGGCGUAAAGCGUGCGUAGGCGGCCAUUCAAGUCAGAGGUGAAAGCCCAGGGCUCAACCCUGGAACUGCCUUUGAAACUAGGUGGCUGGAACACGGGAGAGGUGAGUGGAAUUCCGAGUGUAGAGGUGAAAUUCGUAGAUAUUCGGAAGAACACCAGUGGCGAAGGCGGCUCACUGGACCGUUGUUGACGCUGAGGCACGAAAGCGUGGGGAGCAAACAGGAUUAGAUACCCUGGUAGUCCACGCCGUAAACGAUGAUAACUAGCUGUUGGGGCUCUUUGAGCUCCAGUGGCGCAGCUAACGCAUUAAGUUAUCCGCCUGGGGAGUACGGCCGCAGGUUAAACUUAAAUGAAAUUGAGG
rnacentral:rRNA from 1 species